AAUAAGCGGAGGAAAAGAAACCAACCGGGAUUGCCUUAGUAACGGCGAGUGAAGCGGCAAAAGCUCAAAUUUGAAAUCUGGCGUCUUCGACGUCCGAGUUGUAAUUUGAAGAAGGUUACUUUGUAGCUGGUCCUUGUUUAUGUUCCUUGGAACAGGACGUCAUAGAGGGUGAGAAUCCCGUGUGGCGAGGAUACCAGUUAUAUGUAAAGUACUUUCGACGAGUCGAGUUGUUUGGGAAUGCAGCUCUAAGUGGGUGGUAAAUUCCAUCUAAAGCUAAAUAUUGGCGAGAGACCGAUAGCGAACAAGUACAGUGAUGGAAAGAUGAAAAGAACUUUGAAAAGAGAGUGAAAAAGUACGUGAAAUUGUUGAAAGGGAAGGGCAUUUGAUCAGACAUGGCGUUUGCUUCGGCUUUCGCUGGGCCAGCAUCAGUUUUGGCGGCUGGAUAAAUCUCGGGAAUGUGGCUCUACCGUGGUAGAGUGUUAUAGCCCGUGGGAAUACAGCCAGCUGGGACUGAGGAUUGCGACUUGUCAAGGAUGCGGCGUAAUGCA
rnacentral:rRNA from 1 species